rnacentral:rRNA from 1 species
CAGUCGCCGCGGUAAUACGGAGGGAGCUAGCGUUGUUCGGAAUUACUGGGCGUAAAGCGCACGUAGGCGGCUACUCAAGUCGGGGGUGAAAGCCCGGGGCUCAACCCCGGAACUGCCCUCGAAACUAGGUAGCUAGAAUCUUGGAGAGGUCAGUGGAAUUCCGAGUGUAGAGGUGAAAUUCGUAGAUAUUCGGAGGAACACCAGUGGCGAAGGCGACUGGCUGGACAAGUAUUGACGCUGAGGUGCGAAAGCGUGGGGAGCAAACAGGAUUAGAUACCCCAGUAGUCCCUGUCUCUUAUAA